rnacentral:rRNA from 1 species
CUACGGGCCGCAGCAGUGAGGAAUAUUGCACAAUGGGGGGAACCCUGAUGCAGCAACGCCGCGUGGAGGAUGACGCAUUUCGGUGUGUAAACUCCUUUUAUAUGUCGAGAAAAUGACAGUAGCAUAUGAAUAAGCACCGGCUAACUCCGUGCCAGCAGCCGCGGUAAUACGGAGGGUGCAAGCGUUACUCGGAAUCACUGGGCGUAAAGGACGCGUAGGCGGGUUGGAAAGUCAGGUGUGAAAUCCUACAGCUUAACUGUAGAACUGCACUUGAAACUUCUAAUCUAGAGUAUGGGAGGGGGAGAUGGAAUUAGUGGUGUAGGGGUAAAAUCCGUAGAUAUCACUAGGAAUACCUAAAGCGAAGGCGAUCUCCUGGAACAUUACUGACGCUAAGGCGUGAAAGCGUGGGGAGCAAACAGGAUUAGAUACCCCUGUAGUC